rnacentral:rRNA from 1 species
AGUGAACGCUGGCGGUAGGCCUAACACAUGCAAGUCGAACGGCAGCACAGUAAGAGCUUGCUCUUACGGGUGGCGAGUGGCGGACGGGUGAGGAAUACAUCGGAAUCUACUUUUUCGUGGGGGAUAACGUAGGGAAACUUACGCUAAUACCGCAUACGACCUACGGGUGAAAGCAGGGGAUCUUCGGACCUUGCGCGAUUGAAUGAGCCGAUGUCGGAUUAGCUAGUUGGCGGGGUAACGGCCCACCAAGGCGACGAUCCGUAGCUGGUCUGAGAGGAUGAGCAGCCACACUGGAACUGAGACACGGUCCAGACUCCUACGGGAGGCAGCAGUGGGGAAUAUUGGACAAUGGGCGCAAGCCUGAUCCAGCCAUACCGCGUGGGUGAAGAAGGCCUUCGGGUUGUAAAGCCCUUUUGUUGGGAAAGAAAAGCAGCAGGUUAAUACCCCGCUGUUCUGACGGUACCCAAAGAAUAAGCACCGGCUAACUUCGUG